AAAUAAGAUUUAAUUUCUGUCCCUGGUUUAGGAGUGUGAACAGCUCACAAAACCGUUUCCCUGGAUACGACGUAGAGAGCAAGGAUGUAAAAUGAUAAAAAGGGGGAUUUUUUUUUCAAUAAAGCCAGAAGCCAGAGACUUCCACCGCUUGGCUAGUAGUCCACCGCUUGGCUAGUAUUAUUGAAUGUGCUGCUACGUACACUUGAAUUGUUUAGCUCAUUGAACAUCUCAACGCGAGCGGCGAGCGAAGAGGGAAAAGCCCUGACCAGAUUGAAGAGACAGACUAACCCUGAUGGGACCGGUUCAUGACCGGGGCAACGCCUAUCAAUGCAUCGCCGAGAACAAAACAAGACAGAAUCUCAAGAAGAAUCUCAAUGGGCUCCUGCACUCCUUGCAAGAAACGAGAAAGUCGUUUCUUGCAAGGAGUGCAGAUACAGCCAGAUACAGCCCUGACCAGAUUGAAGAAACAGACUCUGAGGAGGGACUCAGACUCAUGAUGUUGGGUCAAUAGCUCCACAAUCACGCUUUAUCUCUUGCGGUCUUUGUUCAUGUACGUACAGACGGAGGGCAGAUUACAUAAGGGAAACCACCUCCUGAUGGGACCGGUUCAUGACCGGGUCAACGCCUACCAAUGCAUCGCCGAGAACAGCUCAAUGGGCUCCUGCACUCCUUGCAAGAAACGGGAAAGUCCUCGAAGAGGACCAGAUACAGCCCUGACCAGAUUGAAGAAACAGACUCUGAGGAGGGACUCAGACUCAUGAUGUUGGGUCAAUAGCUCCACAAUCACGCUUUUUCUCUUGCGGUCUUUGUUCAUUAAUUUCAAAAGACCGCAAGAGAAAGGGACCAGCCCUCAGUCAGUGGAGUCUUCCAGCCAUGGUGACCAUUGUGCUCUCCCUCAGCCUUCCUUGAGACAGCUAGUGAUCGAUUUAGAGAGGAUUCCUGAGGGAAAUUACAAAGUAAAAUUCCACGAGGCAUUCAAGUCCCUCUUGGAAAACCACCCUGUGACACUGAGUGGUCAAAUCCCAAAAGUAAGACUCCGCAGGGACACCUCGGAGGCCAAUCAGCGGACGCUUUACACGCACUGGGCGAAAGAGCAAUUGGAAAUGCGUGUAAAACACACCCGUGAUCAAUUCAAUCGGAGGAGGCCAACGAAAGAGCGUGUCGACACAUGGGUCAAAAAGCAGGGAUGGAAGUGCAAGGCUGCCAACAGGGAGCGAAGAGGGAAAAGCCCAGCGGUCUUUGUUCAAAAGCCGUCCUUUAUGCUCCUUUCCUCACUCACAGUAGACUGGUUGUUGGAUGCAAAACAGAGCCUAGAUGUAAUGAGAUACAUAGGCGUCUUUUAUUAUAAUUCUGUAUUUCUGUAUUUUUCUUGUUUUUUUUCUUGUCACAGGUUUGCUUGUCACUGCUUAUUUAACUUAUCAAAACAUAUUUAUUGGUGA
rnacentral:lncRNA from 1 species